GAGCUUGCUCUCGGGUGACGAGCGGCGGACGGGUGAGUAAUGUCUGGGAAACUGCCUGAUGGAGGGGGAUAACUACUGGAAACGGUAGCUAAUACCGCAUAAUGUCGCAAGACCAAAGUGGGGGACCUUCGGGCCUCAUGCCAUCAGAUGUGCCCAGAUGGGAUUAGCUAGUAGGUGGGGUAACGGCUCACCUAGGCGACGAUCCCUAGCUGGUCUGAGAGGAUGACCAGCCACACUGGAACUGAGACACGGUCCAGACUCCUACGGGAGGCAGCAGUGGGGAAUAUUGCACAAUGGGCGCAAGCCUGAUGCAGCCAUGCCGCGUGUGUGAAGAAGGCCUUCGGGUUGUAAAGCACUUUCAGCGGGGAGGAAGGCGUUAAGGUUAAUAACCUUGGCGAUUGACGUUACCCGCAGAAGAAGCACCGGCUAACUCCGUGCCAGCAGCCGCGGUAAUACGGAGGGUGCAAGCGUUAAUCGGAAUUACUGGGCGUAAAGCGCACGCAGGCGGUCUGUCAAGUCGGAUGUGAAAUCCCCGGGCUCAACCUGGGAACUGCAUUCGAAACUGGCAGGCUAGAGUCUUGUAGAGGGGGGUAGAAUUCCAGGUGUAGCGGUGAAAUGCGUAGAGAUCUGGAGGAAUACCGGUGGGCGAGGCGGCCCCCUGG
rnacentral:rRNA from 1 species